AGUGAACGCUGGCGGUAGGCCUAACACAUGCAAGUCGAACGGCAGCACAGUAAUAGCUUGCUCUUACGGGUGCCGAGUGGCGGACGGGUGAGGAAUACAUCGGAAUCUACUUUUUCUUGGGGGAUAACGUAGGGAAACUUACGCUAAUACCGCAUACGACCUACGGGUGAAAGCAGGGGAUCUUCGGACCUUGCGCGAUUGAAUGAGCCGAUGUCGGAUUAGCUAGUUGGCGGGGUAAAGGCCCACCAAGGCGACGAUCCGUAGCUGGUCUGAGAGGAUGAUCAGCCACACUGGAACUGAGACACGGUCCAGACUCCUACGGGAGGCAGCAGUGGGGAAUAUUGGACAAUGGGCGCAAGCCUGAUCCAGCCAUACCGCGUGGGUGAAGAAGGCCUUCGGGUUGUAAAGCACUUUUGUUGGGAAAGAAAAGCAGCAGGUUAAUACCUCGCUGUUCUGACGGUACCAAAAGAAUAAGCACCGGCUAACUUCGUG
rnacentral:rRNA from 1 species